UUGGAGGGCAAGUCUGGUGCCAGCAGCCGCGGUAAUUCCAGCUCCAAUAGCGUAUAUUAAAGUUGUUGCAGUUAAAAAGCUCGUAGUUGAAUUUCGGGAUCAAAUAAUCGGUCGUGCCUCCGGUACGUACUGGUUUUAUUGGUUCCUCCCUUCUGACGAACCAUGAUGUCAUUAAUUUGAUGUGGUGGAGAAUCAGGACUGUUACCUUGAAAAAAUUAGAGUGUUUAAAGCAGGCUAACGCUUGAAUACAUUAGCAUGGAAUAAUGAAAUAGGACGUUCGACCCUAUUUUGUCGGUUUCUAGGAUCGACGUAAUGAUUAAUAGGGAUAGUUGGGGGCAUUAGUAUUCAAUUGUCAGAGGUGAAAUUCUUGGAUUUAUUGAAGACUAACUACUGCGAAGGCAUUUGCCAAGGAUGUUUUCAUUAAUCAAGAACGAAAGUUAGGGGAUCGAAGACGAUCAGAUACCGUCGUAGUCUUAACCAUAAACUAUGCCGACUAGGGAUCGGAUGAUGUUAAUUUUUUAAUGACUCAUUCGGCGCCUUACGGGAAAC
rnacentral:rRNA from 1 species